rnacentral:rRNA from 1 species
UACGGAGGGCGCGAGCGUUUUUCGGAAUCAUUGGGCGUAAAGCGCGUGUAGGCGGCUUGGUAAGUCGAGUGUGAAAGCCCGGGGCUCAACCCCGGAAGGUCGCUCGAAACUGCCUGGCUAGAGUCCCGGAGAGGAAGGCGGAAUUCCCGGUGUAGAGGUGAAAUUCGUAGAUAUCGGGAGGAACACCAGCGGCGAAGGCGGCCUUCUGGAUGGUGACUGACGCUGAGUCGCGAAAGCGUGGGGAGCAAACAGG